rnacentral:rRNA from 1 species
AACCUCCACAAUGUACGAGAGUGCGAUGGGGGGAUCCCAAGUGCUAUUCUUAACGGGAUAGCUUUUCUUAAGUGUAAAAAGCUUUUGGAAUAAGAGCUGGGCAAGACCGGUGCCAGCCGCCGCGGUAACACCGGCAGCUCUAGUGGUAGCUGUUUUUAUUGGGCCUAAAGCGUUCGUAGCCGGUUUGAUAAGUCUCUGGUGAAAUCCUGUAGCUUAACUGUGGGAAUUGCUGGUGAUACUGUUGAACUUGAGGUCGGGAGAGGUUAGCGGUACUCCCAGGGUAGAGGUGAAAUUCUGUAAUCCUGGGAGGACCACCUGUGGCGAAGGCGGCUAACUGGAACGAACCUGACGGUGAGGGACGAAAGCUAGGGGCGCGAACCGGAUUAGAUACCCGGGUAGUCCUAGCCGUAAACGAUGCGGACUUGGUGUUGGGGUGGCUUUGAGCUGUUCGGUGCCGUAGGGAAGCUGUUAAGUCCGCCGCCUGGGAAGUACGGUCGCAAGACUGAAACUUAAAGGAAGU